UUCAGAUGUCAGCCCCAGACCCACCUGGACACUCUCCUCUCGGCCGCAGCUUCAGUGCCACAGGGAUGCCUCCAGGGGCCUCCCCGCGCACCCCACUCAGGACCUCACCGUGAUCCCAUAGCACUGACCUCUGAUCUCACAACAGUAACAGCAACAACAGCAAGGAGCCGCUCGGGGCUGCACCCACCAUCCCACCGUCAGCUCCCUGAGAGCAGGAUUGCUCUUCAUU